GGCAUUGUCGGACCAAUAAUUGCUUAAAUUAAGCACUUGAAACUAUUGAUUACAGAAAAGUAGUAGUAACAUUUUCAUAUCCAUUGCCUUGAUACUUAGCUUGAUGUGCAAUGAAAUAGUAGAUCUUAGCCAAACUACAAUUGAUUCAAUACAAAUACAUAAAUUUCACUAAAUAACAAUAAAUACUUAUUCAAACCGAAUGCUAUUUACUUCAAUUAUUAUUAUUAUACUCCGAUUAUUCAAAGCAACUCUGCGAUCGUACCAAAGCUCGUCUACUCACCGUAUUUGAUGUAGGCGAAUCCAAGGUCUUGAGCAGCAACUGCUUCACUGCUGAUAUCAAUUCACCUGUCGGAUUGGGAGGCAAACUCUUUGCUCUGAAUUUCUUGCAAAAUGUCAUGUGUCGAUUCAAAGCUUCAUCUCUUCCAAUCCUUCUGGAUCUCACCAUUUCAUCCUUCACAGCCUCUGCACACAGUCCGCAUAUCCAUCGCCCUUCAUUCCGGUCCCGAACUCUCGCUAUGUAAGACUCUGUACAUUCCUCUGUCAAUCCACAACACGCGCACUUUACAAAUUGGAUCUCACUUUCCAUUCCACUCACCUCUUUCAAAUGCUACAAUUAAUUGAAUAGAUAUAAAUCAAUCUUCGAAAAGAAAUAUUAUCCCACUCGCCUUCUUCUUCAACAAUUUCUCCACCGCUGAUAAAUACCUUGAAUAUCAUAUACAUUUCACACCCUCCCUUGAUUGGCUUUUUUCUAAAUCACCUAAGACCAAAC
rnacentral:misc_RNA from 1 species